rnacentral:rRNA from 1 species
UCCAGACUCCUACGGGAGGCAGCAGUGGGGAAUAUUGGACAAUGGGGGGAACCCUGAUGCAGCGACGCCGCGUGGGUGAAGGAGCGUUUCGGCGCGUAAAGCCCUAUCGGCAGGGAAGAAGGAGGACGGUACCUGACUAAGAAGCCCCGGCUAACUACGUGCCAGCAGCCGCGGUAAUACGUAGGGGGCAAGCGUUAUCCGGAUUUACUGGGUGUAAAGGGGGCGCAGACGGCAGCGCAAGCCAGGAGUGAAAGCCCGGGGCCCAACCCCGGGACUGCUCUUGGAACUGCGCGGCUGGAGUGCAGGAGGGGCAGGCGGAAUUCCUGGUGUAGCGGUGAAAUGCGUAGAUAUCAGGAGGAACACCGGUGGCGAAGGCGGCCUGCUGGACUGCGACUGACGUUGAGGCCCGAAAGCGUGGGGAGCAAACAGGAUUAGAUACCCGGGUAAU